rnacentral:ncRNA from 1 species
GAACGAUAGCACACGAAAAUUGACUAAAUUGGGGGUUUACCUGCUAUGUACUCGUUUGACCUUGAAAAUAAGCCGUUUUGACUGUGGUGACCAACCAGUUCUAUAGAUAAGGUCUUAAUGGACGUCUCUGUUUAUUUUUAGCAAAAAUGAUCUCGAAAUUCUUGAUCACUAAAAAGAUAGUAUACUAUAGCACACGAAAAUUGACAAAAUGGGGUGCAUACUCUAUUUAGGCUUGUUUGACCUUGAAAAUGGGCUGUUUUAGUCGUGGUGUCCAACCCACUACGGAUUGCAGGCUGCAACUCGUCUACAUAAAGCCGGAAUCGCUAGUAAUCACCGGUCAGCCAUACGGCGGUGAAUUCCUUCCCCGACCUUGUAAACAUCGCCCGUCACACUAUGGGAGUUGGAGGCGGAUGUCAGCGGUUCGAGUCCGCUUAUCUCAGACUCGUGAACUUAGCCAAUACAAAUCUUUAUGAUAGCACCCAAUUU